rnacentral:lncRNA from 1 species
GCCUCGCUCUGCGCCGCCGCAGCCGUCGAGCCUCGCUCUGCACCUCCGCUCCCCUUUAUGUCUCCCAUCCAAUACCGACUCAUAACAAAGCCCUUGGAGCCUUCCUGGUCCUUCCGCUUCUUGGCGUCCACUGAGCGCCGGCCACGUUGGCCUCGCCCGCAGCCCACUGGCUCUCGUCCGGGUUUUGCGGUCCUGAUGCUGGCAGGACAAAGCUGAGGGACAUUCAUCAUGAAUGCAGCGCCCCCGAAAGGGACUUCUUAGCCCUAAAGGGCUCAGCCUCGGGCUGCUGUUCACAGCCGGCAGUCUUAAAGGCCUGCCCAGAGGACUGAGAGGAGAAAUAUGUCCAGGGUCACACAAAUAAUAUGUCUCCAAAGAGGAAUUUGAACCCAAAUCUUUCUGGCUUUGAGCUCCUGAUACCAGAAGGAGGCUGUAAGCCUUGGGAUUUGGACCCCAAACUCCCACCUCCCACCUCCUCUAAGGGAUUUAACAGCAGAGAUUUGGCUCAGGCUGAGGAGGAGGAGGACCAUAAGGUUCCUGCCCAUUACAAGGAACAUGCACUGUUCCCUGAAGAUGCCACGUCCAACCAAGACCCUUCUGAUAAUGCUGACCCUCUUCCAUCAUACUUCUGUGAACCAAUUGAAGAUCUUAGAUUCUUCUUCAAAAAGAAGUCAAGUCCCUUGAGUAUUGUUUAUAAUAGUUUAAUACACCCUGAAGAGCCUUCCUACUAACCCUCUGGCUUGCAGUUUUUAUUUUUAUUAUUUAUUUAUUAUUAUAUUAUUAAGAUCCGGUCUGACUACCAUCUGUUGCCAAAACCAUUUACUCUGUGCCUAGUUAAGUCAUACAAUAUGAAAAUUUCCCAUUUUCUUUUCAUUCUUUUCUUCCUCUGGACUCUGUCUAUCCUGGGCACCCAUAUUUCUGAGUGGCACAGAGGGCAGCAACAUUUUUUAAUCUGUCCUCCUGUCGGCUAUGCCUGGGAAACAGACAAUGUACAGCUGCUUCCUGCCUCCCUGGAAGCAUGGAGUGAGACAAACAAGCAGGCACUUGGAGUUUCUGGAGGAUAUCUGGGCAUUGUAAAAGCUACCCUCUCAGACAGCCCCUGCAAGGCCCCGAACAGUACAGAAGCAAACAUAGAGCUAAUUCUGGAAGGUCCAUUUUUAGAACUCUCGUAUCAAAAUGUAUAAUGUAUAAUACAAUUUUCCCUUUAAUGUUAUACUUUUUCUCAUUCACAUAGUCCCUACAUGGGAAAGAUUCCUCUUCCUCUUUUCCUAUUUUCUAGGAAAUUCCUCUUUCCCAUUUUCCUAACUGUCAGUUAACCUUUCUAAGAGAGAUUGCUGACCUAUACGUGGCUUGCACAAUUGGAGACACAGUCUCCCUAGCAAAGGCCAGGUUAAGCAAACAGGGAGGGGUAGUUCUAAUCCAUAGGGUCAAGAUCACUUUGCGGGCAUAAACUAGGAUCCAUAUCAUCUUGUGACAUUCCACUAUGAGUCAGGCAACUGCCAGAGACUCAACCCUUCUGGACUCCCUAGAAGAGCUGUUGGGAUUUGGAGAGAGGAAAACCAUGGAACGGUACCUCUGAAACUGACACUCAGAAGUCAACCCCCUGAGCUCAUCUUUCCAUAGCCUUUCUCCUCACUCGGUCUCAAAUUCUACAUCUUUCCUGUAGCAGACCGGACUCUGCCAUGUCCACACUUCCUGGAGCCUUCAUUGAAUUUUCUUCAGGGACAUCCA